rnacentral:rRNA from 1 species
GUGGGGAAUAUUGCACAAUGGGCGAAAGCCUGAUGCAGCAACGCCGCGUGAGGGACGACGGCCUUCGGGUUGUAAACCUCUUUUAGUAGGGAAGAAGCGAAAGUGACGGUACCUGCAGAAAAAGCACCGGCUAACUACGUGCCAGCAGCCGCGGUAAUACGUAGGGUGCAAGCAUUAUCCGGAAUUAUUGGGCGUAAAGAGCUCGUAGGCGGUCUGUCGCGUCUGCUGUGAAAACUGGAGGCUCAACCUCCAGCCUGCAGUGGGUACGGGCAGACUAGAGUGCGGUAGGGGGGAUUGGAAUUCCUGGUGUAGCGGUGGAAUGCGCAGAUAUCAGGAGGAACACCGAUGGCGAAGGCAGAUCUCUGGGCCGUAACUGACGCUGAGGAGCGAAAGCGUGGGGAGCGAACAGGAUUAGAUACCCUUGUAGUCC